AUGUGCCUUUCCACGAUUCCUGGCUAUCAGGAGCUUGUCUCUACUACACACUCCCACCAUGAAAUUUCAUGCUUCACCACAGAAGAAAAGCCAAUGAAACCAAACAACCAUGGACUGAAACCUCUAAAAAACAUAAGCCAAAAUAAUGUUUACUCAGAGAAGUGGAUUGGGUAUUUUUUAUCACUGUGACAGGAAGUUGACUAACAGAUCAGGCCAACAGAAAUGCUGAUGAAGGAGGGUUCCCCCACUUCCUCUCUUCCCAGCAUGUGUGCCACCUACCAUAAGUUAGGAGUGGAUGACAAGACAAUGUACCCGAAAGAUAGCAGGUCACCCUCUGCUCAGCCAGAGGGCAGGAAGAGCAUCCAGUCAACAUCCUCGGGUUUACAGGAGUAGCCUGACUGGUGAAGCCAAGAAAAGCUUUUUAAGUGGCGAAGAAAUGGUUUGGUGCCAGCAGUGAUCACAGACACACUUUCUGUAGCACCCUGCCCUGUCAUGCCCCAGAGCACUGCUGAAGCUUGGCUCUCCCAGAAUUCCUCUGGGUCUGCAACUUUUUUAGCUUUGGAACCACUCAUGCCCGUGGAGGAACCUGCAAUGUCCAGUGACCUAUGUGAAAAAAGAAAAGACAAACCAACAAAAGUUAUCCAGCUAGGAUCGCAGAGUAAAACAAGCAGGAAGUGAAUGUCAAGACUCAUGAUACAACUUAAAACUAACCCCCAUGGACAAUCCAUGGUUGGAACUCACGCUGCCCAGCUAUGGUAUAAUAAACUGGAAUGCACUCUCUACGCCUUGGAAAAGCUAAAAGAUACUGUGCAUUUGGACACACCAGCAAGGAGAAAAUGCUGUGAGCAGACUGAGCAAAGGCUGCUCCUGGAUGGACGUCCUGCUUCUGUGUUGGGAAGGAAGUGUGAGUGCCUGAGAAAGGGCUUUGUAAGUUUUUGAACUAACCAGAAGAGGACAGGUCUCUUGGCUAAAAACAAACAAUAGCAAGGUUCAUUUUUGCC
ensembl:lincRNA 4933402C06Rik RIKEN cDNA 4933402C06 gene